UCCGGUUUGUCACCGGCAGUCUCAUUAGAGUGCCCAACUGAAUGUAGCAACUAAUGACAAGGGUUGCGCUCGUUGCGGGACUUAACCCAACAUCUCACGACACGAGCUGACGACAGCCAUGCAGCACCUGUGUUCCGGUUCCCUUUCGGGCACACCGCGAUCUCUCGCGGCUUCCGGACAUGUCAAGGGUAGGUAAGGUUUUUCGCGUUGCAUCGAAUUAAUCCACAUAAUCCACCGCUUGUGCGGGUCCCCGUCAAUUCCUUUGAGUUUUAAUCUUGCGACCGUACUCCCCAGGCGGGAUGCUUACUGCGUUAGCUGCGCCACUGACGAGCAAGCUCGCCAACGGCUAGCAUCCAUCGUUUACGGCGUGGACUAC
rnacentral:misc_RNA from 1 species